CAGGCUAUUGCCAAUAUGAAGAUUUUCCUUGCAGAGAGAUCAAGCAUUUCCAAUGUGGACCUAUAAACUAAUUAUUUCCUUGAAUUAAUUCUUAUGAAGUGCCAAUUAGCUACAAUAAAGGUUCUGAUAAUACAGUGAAAAUGUUACUUAUCUUGAUUACUGGAAGGGUUUUAAAAGGAAAUGCUAGUGAAUUAGAAAUUGCUCCAUCUAUGAUUAAAAACAAUUAAUUUUCCAGGAGAGAAAUCACCUUAUUAGAAACUGAAUCAGCUCACUUAAUUUUGUUGUUAUAAAAGAGAGAUGGUUUAUCCAAUUAUUCAUUAAUUGCUCUAUAUAAUAUGGUUCUCUUCAAUAACUUUAUCCAAAGCAGGCAGAACAUCCCAGAGGUAAUUUAUCUUUCCAGAAAAUACACAUGAAGUAGUUAUUCUGCACAGCUCUCUCUCCCCAGGUGCUCAGAUUAUGGAAAAUGAAGCAUCAGUGGUAUGAUCAGCUCUUGCUGGUGGUCUUCAGAAUUAAGUAUUUUCAGAUUUAAGCAUCUAUAUAAACGUUUCUGAACAGUGGCUAUAAGGAGCGUGGGAAUUUGAUGUGAUGGGUGAAGAAAAGUGAAGUGAAGAUGAACCUCUCCAAAUCAAGCUGCAGUAUUGACCUGGAAAACAUACGAUAAAUGAGUUAGCUAUCAGGAUUUGGAGGAGGAUCAAUGUUUCAGAUCUGCAUCUUAUGAAUUCAAAUGAUGACUAUGGCUGGCCAAUACUGGAAAGAUAGUAGACUGGUUGAAUGAUGUUUGUGAAAGAGCAAUAAGCUCUGCAGAAGAGGACAAUGUGAGAAGAACAUGGAUGGCACAAGAUAGCGGUGAUGCACAGCAGUUUCUCAAAAUGAGAUUGAUGAUCUUUUUAUGCACUGUAUUCAAAAAGGUUCAUUAUUUUAAUCCCUAAUUGGAUUCAUUUUGAUAAAACCAGCAUUUAAGUGUAAGUUACAUCAUGCAAUUAUAUGCAUGGAACCAAGGCAAACCUGAGAUGACCUAUUUUUCCAUUUCCAUUUAUAGCUCAUUUUGUUUGUUUGAAAAUCACUGCCUAGAAAUACAUUGUAGCAUUUAAAAUUAAAUCAAUGGACACUGGAACAUCGUGUCAUUUUUGGAGUGUUUUAUCAUUUCUGUCGAGAUUAGGCUGAAUUUGCCAAGAAUUAGUGCUCUCUGAUCUGUUUGCUACAGAUUUAAUUGGGGACGUUUACAAUAUCAUCUAUUGUGAUAAAAGGUAGCAUUUUGAAUUAGACAGAACUACUUAAUGAAAGCCCUACCAAAAAUGGAAAAUAUUUGUAGGGAAAUAUGCAGUAUAAUGUCUGAUAUAGGAAAUAAUGCAACAGCAG